UCUUGUUGUUUUAGACACACAAUUUACAAUUUGUAGUUAAAUUUUGAUUUUGAGUUCUAAUUGCAAAUUGUAAAUUGUGUGAUUGAAAAAAGAUAAGAAAGAGAUAUGCUACUGUUUGGUCUUCACUUCACAUGUUGAGAUUUGAUGUGUUUUCUAGGCUUGAAAGGGCUAAUGGAUUGCUUUGUGAUUGUACAAAAGAGAUGGGUGAACACGCGUCACAGCUUGCAAGAUCCACCUACUGUGGAUCAUUUGGUCUUCUUUUCAAAGCUGCUUCUCCUACAACUCCUUCCCUUCCAAACGUUUGCUUUACAUGUGAUGCUGGGUUAUCUGAUUUUUGUGAAGAUGGUUCUUUGAUUGCACGUUUGGAUGAAUUUAUCCAGUCGAGAUGUGAUUGUUAGUCUAACAAAGUAGACAGCCAAAUUUUGAAAUACUAGUCCUGGUGUACCAUUUUCACUGCAAAUUUCCUAUUAUUGUGAUUUGAGUUUCAAUUCAAAAUGUAACUGCAACUCCAUGGUGAAUGCUGCAUUUUCUGCUCUC